GCAGGACAUAUAGGAACAUGCCUAUGGACCGGGGUUUCCAAAUUCUUUUCCAUGCCUAUCUGCUGUAAAUUUGUGUUUGGGACAAAGGAAGUACAACCCAUAUUGCAGAGAAUAUAAAAAGGCAGCUGUAUCACUUCCAUUUUGUCUUUAAUCCUGCAUCUCACAGUAACUUCUCUACAAACCCAUAUCUGAUACAGCGUUGCAGCUGGUACUAGCUAAAAAGAAAAGGCCUUUCUUGGAUUCCAAGCUUGUGAAAGAGUGCAUGUUGGAACUGCUGGAAGAGCUUUUUGCCAGAGAUAAAAACAAAGAUGACAUUGUGAACCGUGUGAAGCAAGUUCCCCUGUCUGAUUUCACAGCAAUAAGAAGAUUGGAGGUAAUUUAUGGGGAUUGUUUGUCGGCACUGUUUUCUGAUUUAAAAAAUGCCAAAUAUAAGUCUCUUGUAGUGGACAAAUCAAAUGAUUUAAGUGAUACUGCCCAGCUAUCACUGUUUGUUAGAUUUUAUGAUGGUGACAUUUUCAAGGAAGAAUUUUUGUUCUUAAUACCAUUAGAAACCUACACCACCGGAGAGGUCAUUUUUGAAAAGGUAAAAAGCUUUUUUGAAAAAAAUGGCUUAGAUCUGCAGAAAACAAAUUUGCUUGUUACAGACGGGGGUCCCUCUAUGACAGGAAAAGAAAAGGGCUUUGCUUCAUGUUUGGCUGUGAUACACCCUUCAUCAAAUAUACUUCACUGCACCAUUCACUAGACUGUCCUAUGCAGUAAGUUGUCUGGGGACUUGAAAAAACAAUGGGUAUUGUGAGGAAAUUAAUGAACUACACAUGCUCAAAUUAUAGCUUGCAACACCAUCUUUUUAAAGCUCUUUUAACAAGAAAUUUCAGCCAAAUACAGUGACCUGUUGCAGCACAGUGACAUUCGCUGGUUAAGUAGGGAGCAUAAUGUUAAAGAGGUUUUUUGCACUUCAAAAAGAAAUAAUAGAAUUUCUUUCAAACUACAAGAUGCACAAAGCUUGCAAGGUCUUGGAAUUUAUGAAUGAUGUCCUCUCUAUGUCACAGGUAGCUUUUCUGUGUGAUAUUACUGGUCACUUGAAUUCCCUCAACUUGCAGCUCCAAGGCCGUGCAAGCAGUAUCGGGGAUCUGUUUGAAAAAAACCAUGCCUUUCAGACAGUCUUCACAGGAAAGAUAUUGCACUUCUCCACAUUACGCGUUGUUGGUAGAGGUGAAACUUCUAUGAAAAUGAUGCAAGAAUUCCUAAACAAUUAAGGCUCCAGAGCUCAGAGGUCUUGGAAGCAAAAUUCAGAGAAGUGGGACUUUGUGAUUUCUGGACUCAAUAUGUUGACCAAUUUCAGAAUAGCCAGAAUCUACCUUUCUAUCUUUUAAAGAUGUUUGGAUCAACAUACCUCUGUGGAUCUGGGUUUUCUACCAUGGGCAUUAUAAAAAACCAACACCUCAAUUGUCUGAUAGAUGAGCAUCUUCACCGGUGCAUGUGCCUUGCCUUGAGCUCCUACAAAACGCUCUUCAUAAAGCUUGCCAGGGAUCAUCACUGUCACCUCUCCCAUUAGAGAUUAUCACAAACACAGUCUCCUAUAGAUAGAGACAGAGGGACAGACACACCACACCUGAAUGGCGCUGUGACUCCAUGUGCUAAGUGUGCCAAUCAAAUUUGGCUCCUCACUCCUCAGUUUCCAUCUACAGAGGGAAGCACGUGUCAAGCUUGAGUGAUGCUGUAACCACAUGCACCAGGUUGUAACGUACAGAGUGGAGAGUUGGGCCCAUCCCUCCACGACAGAAGCCACUGCUGUGAGUGAGAAAGGGCUUAAUUAGAGCAAAGACCGGGUGGAAGAAUAAAGGCUCAUUAAUCAAGUGGAUGCCACGAACUUUUAAUGGAAAGGAAUCCUGCAAACAUAUAAACAAAAAUAACCACAGAGUUUGAGAACCCCUGCACUAGAGGGAGAAGAGCCUCCAUUCAUGCCCCAUUUCAUUGCUACAGCUCUGCUGACUACAAUUUUUCUACUUCUUCCAGAGGUGAACUGGAGAUACCGAUCAUAAAUGUUUUUUUCCAUGAAUAUCACUCUAGCCUUUCUUUUCUUAUGUUGGAUAGGGCCAGAUUGAUGGGCUCUUAUCUGAAUUAAAAAAUAGCUUGCUAAAUCUAACUGUUUUUAGGAACUUUUUGAAACAGUGGGAUAAAAACUUAAGCAUCAGAUUCUAAUCUUGUAAAAUGUAUGCAAUGAGCACUGCUAUGUAAUCUCACCAAAAUCUGCUUUUGCCAAUAUCUGUGGGAACAGAUUUUUCAAGAUCCACAGCUAUGGGCACUGCACAGUUCAGAUUAGACUAUAGUCCAUAACAAUUAAAUUCUCUUGCUAGCUAAUGAGGCUUGGGACUGGAAGCUAAGAAACAGCUUGUCUUCUUAGUUCUUUCUGGGUCCAGAGAAGCAGGACUUUGUACAUUCCUUGUAAAUAAACAAGAUUGCAACAAAGAGAAUACCAGACUUUAUAAAUUUUUGCUUCCAACUGGAACAUUCCCAGCACCCUGAAAUUGGACUAACUACUUGGGUUAAAAAGAGGCAAUACUAUUAUUUUGAUGCUAUUUUUCCCUUUCUACAUUGCAAUUAACCCCUCUGUGUGUAUCCUCAUAUUUGUUCAUGCAGUGCAAGAUCGUAUUUUUACAAGAGAUAUAACAGUAAAGUUUAAAAAAAUAGGAGCUGAAAGUUAGGAUCCUAAAUCUAAAUGUUCCUAAAUAUGGAUUUAGGAAAUUAACUUUUUUAAAUCUUGGCCCAUAACAUGUUACUUUAAAAUGUCACAAUGACAAAAAGGGACCUGAAUUGCCUGAACUGCCAAGGAAGAGCAGAAGAAACCUGUGUGUGAAAAAUGUCAAUCCAACUUAGAAAAUGAUUAGAGGAAUAGAUAGAAAAUUGCAAUAAAUAAGUUUAUAAAUUUUAAGAAGCACUACUCACAAUUUAUAGUUUUGAUUUAUUUUCUUUGCUGCCUUAUUUGUAAUACUUUUAAAUGUUUGAAAAACAAAGGGUAAACACGAAAGUAGACGCCUCACAUCCAAAGAAUUUCUGGGAGGCAUGGGGGUACUAGAUCCAAAUCCCUAGAUUUAACCAGGCACCCUCUUUCCCCACCCCCAAAACAAGUUCUAAAGAUACCAGGGACCUGUCUACUGGUUCAGAUACAGCUGAAAUCUCUCAAGAACAGCCAUUCUAGUGAGAUUUUUCCCAAGAUGGUAGAAUCAUCGUAAGAGUAACCAACCAUGUGAGAAUUCCCCCACUUAAGAUGGCAGAUGCUCUGUGAGGCUUGGUUUCAAGAAAUUCUCAGGCAGAAAUAUUAUGAGAAAAUCUGAGAUUGAUCUUUUGGUGCAGCAAUGACCUAACUCUGAUUAAGCCUCAAACCCAAACCCUUGCUAGUCUGAAGCCAGCCAUUAUCUAGUUGGCUCAUCUCUGUAAUAUUAGCUAUUGGCUUUAUUAUUUUUAUUGAGUUCUUAUGGGAGUUUACUGACUUUUUAAAUAUGUAACUAGAAUCCGGAGGAUAUUCACUACUUGAUUACGGCAAAUUAAAUAAUGUUUAGAUUUAAAUCGUUUAAGUGUGUCUCACUUCUAAUAGCUCUAAAUAGCACUAUUUUGUUCUUUCAAGCAGUGUUACCAUGACAAGGUCCUACACAAAAGGAAAGCGUGCCAUAAUUUAGAGUAGAAACAUUUUGACUAUUGCAAUAAAGAAACUAAAAUUAAGCAUCAAACCUACUGUGAGCACAGCAGCAAUCCUCUUGGCCACUGUUGGGCUGAUUUGAAAUGCAUGAGCAAAUAGCCACCCUUGAAGAUCAAAGAUAGCCUUGACUCCAUUCCGUUGUGUCUCUCUCUCUUUUACAAUGAGCUCUGAUGUGAUAAGGCUUACACGAAACACAUCAUAUGCUGUAAACAUCUUUGGAUCCCAUCGUCCUGAAGAACAAAUAGACUGUAGUGCAUUACCACACAGAUAUUCUGUAUACAUAUAUUCCCGCUGGCUAUUGUUUCUAAUGCACUCCUUAAAUACAAAAUGAGUAAACAGCAA